UACGUAGGGGGCGAGCGUUGUCCGGAAUUAUUGGGCGUAAAGAGCGUGUAGGCGGUUCGGUAAGUCGGGUGUGAAACCCUCAGGCUCAACCUGGGGACGCCACUCGAUACUGCUGUGGCUAGAGUCCAGUAGGGGAGUGUGGAAUUCCCGGUGUAGCGGUGAAAUGCGCAGAUAUCGGGAGGAACACCAGCGGCGAAGGCGGCACUCUGGGCUGGAACUGACGCUGAGGAGCGAAAGCGUGGGUAGCAAACAGG
rnacentral:rRNA from 1 species